CCAAAAAAACUGGACGGAGCGAAGGAGUGACGACCCCUCGAUCUAUUCGUGACGCGAACGACGCAACCACCGCCAUCACAGAUCCCACGCGCUAGCCGCGGAUCCCUUUGCGGCGUUGAGGGGUCGUGGAGGCGCCGCCUCCGAGGUCCUAAAGGAGGCGUCGCUACCAUUGUUGUGGACCUCCGGGUGGCCAUCGAGACACCUCUGCUGAGGUACGCCUUCUCCUUCGCACGGUGAUGGGCAUGGUGGCGGAAGAAGGUCGUCUUCCUAGAGCACCGCAUGCUGGCCGCAGUCUCCAUCCGCGGCCGCACCAACAAGACAGUGUUCCCGAAUUAGGUCAAGAAUGUACUGCUUACAUUGCAGACUGUAUAAUUCGGAUGGGUCUUCUUCUACAUGGUGACUAUUGACGCAAAUAUGGACUGCACUUCCUUCCCAUCUUCUACAUAGCCUAUACCCAGCAGCACCGUAGAUGAGCCCAUCAACAACAUGAUGGAGACCAGUCGUACUUCUUGAUCCGGUAUCUAAACCAUUGGUCGUCAGUGUUGUUGCGGAAGGUGCGAAGGAGGGAGAAGGUUUUGCCGAUAACUGGCACAACGAGGUUAGGUGUAGGUCUGGGCGUUGGUGCUGGUGGAGGCGCAGCACUGGAGCUCGGCCAUGACUCGGUCGGACAUCACUUUGAGCCAUCAUAAAAAUAUCAUGAUCAUCUUUUGGCGAAUAAAAAGCAAGAAUCAUACCCACCCACGCGGCGACACGAUGCAGAAGGGCUAUAUGGGUCUAUAGCGGCGCGUGCAAUGGAAGGACAACUAUGGGAACAAGCUCACCGAAGUCUUGGAAUUCCAACCUAGAUAAACAAGUGAACUAAUUUUAACAAUUUCCCUUUUUUGCGAUGCAGGCUAGCUCAUUCUUUGAGGGCUACUCAACUCUGUUUUUGCCCUCCCUUUGGAGAUUGGAUUAUAUGGUACUCUGUGUUGAAGGAUCUUCAUGCCAAAUUUAAUAAAUCUUGUCAUGUUUUCACAGGUUGCCUAUUUUCUCACUCUACAUGGAAUGGUGAACGUUUGUAGCAUGGUCACUUGGUCAGGUUUUGAUUAUUUUUAUCACUGCACAUACCUUCAGAAAAUAACCCAAUGAGGCUGAUACGUCUCCAACGCAUCUAUAAUUUUUGAUUGUUCCAUGCAGUUUUAUUAUCAAUCUUGGAUGUUUUAUAAUCAU